rnacentral:sRNA from 1 species
GCCGGGCGCGGUGGCUCACACCUGUAAUCCCAGUGGCUCGGAGGAGGCUGAGGCAGGAGGAUUGCAAGUUCAAAGCCAGGUCAGCAAAAGCCAGGUGCUAAGAAACUCCAGGAGACCCUGUCUCUA